CACGUAGGUAAUCUACCCUUGGGUGGCGGACAACCUUCCGAAAGGAAGGCUAAUACGGCAUGACGCCAGCAAUGGCCAAAGCGGGCCUCUUCUUGAAAGCUCGCGCCUGGGGAUGAGCCUGCGGCCCAUCAGUUAGUUGGUUGAGGUAACGGCUCACCAAGACAUAGACGGGUAGCUGGUCUGAGAGGAUGAACAGCCACACUGGAACUGAGACACGGCCCAGACUCCUACGGGAGGCAGCAGUGGGGAAUAUUGCACAAUGGGGGAAACCCUGAUGCAGCCAUGCCGCGUGUGUGAAGA
rnacentral:rRNA from 1 species